GACGAACGCUGGCGGCGUGCUUAACACAUGCAAGUCGAACGGAAAGGCCCUGCUUGCAGGGUACUCGAGUGGCGAACGGGUGAGUAACACGUGGGUGAUCUGCCCUGCACUUCGGGAUAAGCCUGGGAAACUGGGUCUAACACCGGAUAGGAGCCAUUUUUAGUGUGAUGGUUGGAAAGUUUUUUCGGUGUAGGAUGAGCUCGCGGCCUAUCAGCUUGUUGGUGGGGUAAUGGCCUACCAAGGCGGCGACGGGUAGCCGGCCUGAGAGGGUGGACGGCCACAUUGGGACUGAGAUACGGCCCAGACUCCUAAGGGAGGCAGCAGUGGGGAAUAUUGCACAAUGGGCGCCAGCCUGAUGCAGAGACGCCGCGUGGGGGAUGACGGCCUUCGGGUUGUAAACUCCUUUCGCUAGGGACGAAGCUUUUUGUGACGGUACCUAGACAAGAAGCACCGGCUAACUACGUG
rnacentral:rRNA from 1 species